rnacentral:snRNA from 1 species
AAACAAAGCAUUGCGAUGGUCCC